GGGCCCAUAGCUCAGCGGUUAGAGCAGGCGACUCAUAAUCGUUUGGUCGUUGGUUCAAAUCCAACUGGGCCCACCA
rnacentral:tRNA from 1 species